UUGUUACUAGUUUUAGGUGUUUCCUUCAGCAAGAAUGGCUUCCAUACUUUCUUGUAGUCCAUUGGGAUCCCGGAUUUGUCACAACAUCAAGUACUUGUUGAAGAAAAUCCCCAUUUAUGUUGUUCAUCAUAGGGUAGUACUCAUCUUCUUCAACAUUAGGUAAGUUAAACAAAUCAUUGAUGGACUUAGAAGUAAGAAGUACCUUCUUC
rnacentral:lncRNA from 1 species